UGCAGUAGUUUCUGAAGACAUGGGAGUCUUCAGUGGAGUCUGCCUACUAAAAAUUGCUGGUUCAUUAAGACCACUUACGUAUACUCUGAGGAUUAUCAAGAUUGUCCCUCUUUUGUGGUGCAUCAGCAUGAUUUGGAUUUGGGUGACUACUUGCAUGCUGAAGAGAAUUGCUGCUGCAAGAUUCUUAGAGUGGCCCAGGAAGAUUCAUCCAACAAUGGUUUGUGGAUAGGACAAUGAUACAUACUGGUGGUCCUCUUCAGGUUUUCAAGAUGGCUACUUGCAUGCUGAAGAGAAUUGCUGCUGCAAGAUUCUCAGUGGCCCAGGAGGAUUCACCCAACUAUGAUUGUCCCUCUUUUGUGGUGCAUCAGCAUGAUUUGGAUUUGGGUGACUACUUGCAUGCUGAAGAGAAUUGCUGCUGCAAGAUUCUUAAGAGUGGCCCAGGAAGAUUCACCCAACUAUGGUUUGUGGAUAGGACAAUGAUACAUACUGGUGGUCCUCUUCAGGUUUUCAAGGUUUGUUGGAUGGACAAUGAUACAUACUGGUGGUCCUCUUCAUGUUUUCAUUGUUCCUGUGGAAUUGCUGCUAACAGCCAUUUUUGGAAGGUGCGUUCAAUGCAUACCCGAUUUAUUUAUUGAAGUAAUGACGACAUGCAAAGCUACUUUGAUAGUGAUUUGAUGACAGUCUCUAAGGAUUGAUUGAAUCUUCCAAAACUUUGUAACCCCUGUUUUAUAAGAAACACCAAGUACUGUUUCUUUGGUACUUGCAGCCCAACAGCAGGACUGGUGUAAUCCUGUUGCAUCAUACCCAUUUAAGAAGUUUGACCAGGCUAUACAAAUCUGGGGUAUUCCUUGUGGGGUCCACAGGUUAUAUCCCAAUCCUGUUACCAGUCUUGCACUCCAAACUUCAUCCGAUUCAUUCCCUCUUUAAAUUGUCUCACGAACCAGAUUAUAUGUGUGAAGGCUUUCAAAUCGAAAACUUGUGUUUUUAAUUAUUGGAUAUUUCCUAACAUGCCUUUCCUGAUCAAUAGUGUUCAUAUAGCAGUAAUCUGUUAUUCUCAUACUCUAGUUUCAUAUGUAGUCUGAUUAACCCCUUCAGUACCAGGACAUGUUUUCAUAUCCAUUCUGAUUAAUAUAUAGCUAUUUUAUAAUGCUUCAAAAAACUUGUGUAGUUGUAGGAUUAAAAUAGUAAAGACUAGCAAUUAAUCUUCAGACCUUCAUAGGCCCUUCAUAAUGCACAUAAUCAUACCUCAAAAUCAAGGUAAAACUAGUCCAAUACUGAAGUGGUCAAUGAGUCUUCUGUUCUUAUUUAAUAGAUAGCUUUACAAGAGGCAAACACCAAACAUUUAUGGAAAUUGCUAGCUAGCUUACAUGAUGGAACAAAUGCCACAAUGUGUAAAGAAUAAAAUGCUUACUACAA
rnacentral:misc_RNA from 1 species